UGCGUAGGUGGCAAGCGUUGUCCGGAUUUAUUGGGCUUAAAGGGUGCGUAGGCGGUUCUAUAAGUCAGUGGUGAAAUACGGCAGCUCAACCGUCGAGGUGCCAUUGAUACUGAAGAACUUGAGUACAGACGAGGUAGGCGGAAUUGACGGUGUAGCGGUGAAAUGCUUAGAGAUCGUCAAGAACACCGAUAGCGAAGGCAGCUUACUAGACUGUAACUGACGCUGAGGCACGAAAGUGUGGGGAUCAAACAGG
rnacentral:rRNA from 1 species